GGGGAAUCUUGCGCAAUGGGCGGAAGCCUGACGCAGCGACGCCGCGUGGGGGAUGACGGCCUUCGGGUUGUAAACCUCCUUUUACCACCGACNCAGGCCCGGGUUUCUGCCCGGGUUGACGGUAGGUGGGGAAUAAGGACCGGCCAACUACGUGCCAGCAGCCGCGGUAAUACGUAGGGUCCGAGCGUUGUCCGGAAUUAUUGGGCGUAAAGAGCUCGUAGGUGGUGUGUCGCGUCUGCUGUGUAAGUCCGGGGCUCAACCCCGGUUUUGCAGUGGAUACGGGCAUGCUAGAGGUAGGUAGGGGAGACUGGAAUUCCUGGUGUAGCGGUGAAAUGCGCAGAUAUCAGGAGGAACACCGGUGGCGAAGGCGGGUCUCUGGGCCUUACCUGACGCUGAGGAGCGAAAGCGUGGGGAGCGAACAGGAUUAGAUACCCUGGUAGUCCACGCCGUAAACGUUGGGCGCUAGGUGUGGGGACUGUUUCCACGGUGUCCGUGCCGUAGCUAACGCAUUAAGCGCCCCGCCUGGGGAGUACGGCCGCAAGCUA
rnacentral:rRNA from 1 species